UAACCAUCUCAUUUGUCUCUUCCCAGCUUCCUCUGCCGUCAACGCAUCCCAGCUCGAGAGAUCGCAUAAAAUUCACGACUCGCUCUGUGCUUCGACAUCUUCAAAGGUUGAGAGAUCGCUCUGUGCUCCGGCUCGCUCUGUGCUCCGUCAUCUUCAAAGCUCGAGAGAUCGCUCUGUGCUCCGACUCGCUCUGUGCUCCGACAUCUUCAAAGCUCGAUAGAUCGCACUGUGCUCCGACUCGCUCUGUGCUCUGACAUCUUCAAAGCCGAAAGUGGUGAAUUGAUUCAGCGAAUCAACCUCACUAACAAGUAGUCACAAAUCCAAACAAGAGCUGCGGCCCUGUUUCUAUAUUUGGUCGAUUUGUGGUAUUUUGGGUACUAAAUUUCAACAGGCAGAGACGGGGUAAGUUAGAAUCACUCCUUUCAAUUCAAUUCCAGUCCCUCCACAUUUUCCUAGUUUGAUUUCCGUUCUUUGAUAGGAUUGGUUUCGAUACUUAUCUCGUAUAAGAGUUUCUAGGGUGAAGAAGUGACUCAAGGGAAUUAUAAUUAUCUACCAGUUGGUUGGUUUUGCUAGUCGAAGUACCAGGGUUUACUCAAUUAGGCUUACUCUUACUACACUGGUCAAUGUUUGUUUUCUGAUGGGUUGUUCAUUUCAUACUGAAAGUGUUCCAAGAUGACUAAACCAACUGAAACUGCUCCAGCAAAUUGGUUCUCUUAAUUGAAAAGUAAGUUAUUUUUUUUAUAUGGCCCAUUGAAAAUAUAAGUAUGACUUGCACUCUCAAAUUAUAAGAGCUAUUACUUUGUUUCUAAGUAAGCAGGUCAUAGAUAUUGAUAGUGAAUCAUCAACUUUAGUUUAAAUUAUUCAGUUGGGCCGCAUAUAGUUCUGUUGGGAGAUUUUGUCUUUUCAUGGAUAUUUUAGCAACAAGAAGGUUUUGUGAAAUCUGCUUCUAAUAUAAGAUCUGCACAGGAAGCUGGAAACAAUGAAAAUGGACGAGAUGCUGCUUAUAUCUUUUAUUACAUUAUCAUUUUUGUUAAAUAUAACUGGAGCAUAGCACUACUAAAAGUUGAGAUGCUGCAUUGCUUGUUUCAAAGGUAAAAGCUUACCCUGUUGUCUGAUAUCUAUUUUGGUUGCUAAAACUGGAGCUCUCUCUGCCAAGGACACUUACCACUUGAUUGGGGAAGGCCAUGACAGGUACUAUCACCUUCCUAACAAAUGUUCAUACAUUUGUAUUUAUCCAAUUCUUUUUCUCAACAGGUUUUCUGCCAAAGACAAUUAACUGGUCUCUUAUGAUGUCAUUGUUCAUAUGCCUAUCAAUUUAGGAAGACCAAGUUCUCAAGUUAACUUUGCCAAGACUGCAAAUAUGAUGGCUCUUUUGGCAGAGGAACAAUGCUUCAAGUCGAAGGAGAAGCUGAAAAUUAGUUGUUUAGGACAUGUAACUUUCAUCAACUUCUUAUAACAGUUGGCAAACUUUUGGGCUACAAUGUAUUUCUGCAAAGUCAAGACCCUAAGACACCAUCCUCGUCGUGAUGAGGAUGGUAAUAAUUGAUGAAAAUGAAGCAAGGGAAGGAUAGAAAUGAUUAGAAUGUGUAUUAGGAGUUUCACAUUUUGGAUGUAAAUUAAUGUUCGGAACUUGGAACAUAUUUUUGUUUAUCUAUAAAUACUCAGUUUGUACUUUGAAAUGCAAUAUAUGAUAGCUCAAUUGAAAUA